rnacentral:rRNA from 1 species
GUAGGUGGCAAGCGUUGUCCGGAAUUAUUGGGGCGUAAAGCGCGCGCAGGCGGUUCUUUAAGUCUGAUGUGAAAGCCCACGGCUCAACCGUGGAGGGUCAUUGGAAACUGGAGAACUUGAGUACAGAAGAGGAAAGCGGAAUUCCACGUGUAGCGGUGAAAUGCGUAGAGAUGUGGAGGAACACCAGUGGCGAAGGCGGCUUUCUGGUCUGUAACUGACGCUGAGGCGCGAAAGCGUGGGGAGCAAACAGGAUUAGAUACCCUGGUAGUCCACGCCGUAAACGAUGAGUGCUAAGUGUUAGGGGGUUUCCGCCCCUUAGUGCUGCAGCUAACGCAUUAAGCACUCCGCCUGGGGAGUACGGCCGCAAAGGCUG